AACGCACAUUGCGCCCCUUGGUAUUCCGGGGGGCAUGCCUGUUCGAGCGUCAUUUCACCACUCAAGCCUCGCUUGGUAUUGGGCGAUGCGGUCCGCCGCAUGCCUCAAAUCGACCGGCUGGGUCGAUCGUUCCCUCAGCGUUGUGAUUUAUCUAAUUCGCUAAAGGGUUGUCGGUCGGUCACGCCGUUAAACAAGACAUCAUUUUUAAAGGUUGACCUCGGAUCAGGUAGGGAUACCCGCUGAACUUAA
rnacentral:misc_RNA from 1 species